rnacentral:lncRNA from 1 species
GCGUUGUGCGCAAGCCUAUCAGCACAGGCCCACUGCAUGGACGACGCGUACAUAGUGCGUGGCGCUUAGCCCUGCCCACGUGUGAGGUGAUUCGCAUGGAUUGCCCUGUCUGCACACAACGAAUCGCACGCACAAAUUAGCCUCGUGCCCCACGUGGAUGGGACAUGCGUAUAGUGCGCACAUCCUGCACUUGGUCGUGCACACACACAUGUGCACAGCGUACGGUGCCCGCGCGGGCGAGCGUCUCCUGCGGGCAUUUUCUCGCGGGAUUUCUU